rnacentral:lncRNA from 1 species
UUACUAUUUCGAUAAAGUUCAAAAAACACCCUUUAAGGCCAAGGGACUUUGCCAAAAAGAGAAAAGUUCGACCUCGAUCGAACGAUGACGGGCUACUAUUUCGAUAAGUUCGAAAUAACACACUUUUAGGCCAAGGGACUUCGCCAAAAAGAGAAGAGUUUAACUUCGAUCGAACGAUGAUGGGUUACUAUUUCGAUAAGUUCGAAAUAACACCUUUUAAGGCCAAGGGCCUUCUCUAACAAGAGGAGAGUUCGAUUUUGAUCGAACGAUGAUGGUUACUAUUUCGAUAAGUUUGAAAUAACACCCUUUAAGGCCUAGGGCCUUCGCCAAAAAGAGAAGAGUUCGACCUCGAUCGAACGAUGACGGGUUACUAUUUUGAUAAGUUCAAAAUAACACUCUUUUAGGCCAAGGGCCUUCGCCAAAAAGAGAAGAGUUUGACUUCGAUCGAACGAUGACGGGUUACUAUUUCGAUAAGUUUGAAAUAACACCCUUUAAGGCCAAGGGCCUUCUCUAACAAGAGGAGAGUUCGACUUCAAUUGAACGACGGUGGUUACUAUUUUGAUAAGUUCGAAAUAAUACACUUUAAUGCCUGAGGCCUACGCAAAAAAGAGAAGAGUUCGACCUCGAUCGAACGAUGACGGGUUACUAUUUCGAUAAGUUCGAAAUAACACACUUUUAGGCCAAGGGCCUUCGCCAAAAAGAGAAGAGUUCGACCUCGAUCGAACGACGACGAGUUACUAUUUCGAUAAGUUCGAAAUUACACCCUUUAAGGCCAAGGGCCUUCGCCUAAAAGAGAAGAGUUUGACCUCGAACGAACGAUGACGGGUUACUAUUUCGAUAAAGUUCGAAAUAACAAACUUUAAGGCUAAGGGACUUCGCCAAAAAGAGAAAAGUUCGACCUCGAUCGAACGAUGACGGGCUACUAUUUCGAUAAGUUCGAAAUAACACACUUUUAGGCCAAGGGACUUCG